rnacentral:lncRNA from 1 species
GGGCACUUCACAAAGUCCCACUUGAGAUAUGCAGGUGAUACAAAACAAUCAUUUCUACCUGUAUCGAACUUCAGCACCUACCCAUAUAUUCAGCACCUACUUAUUCAUGCCACAUUAAGCCAUGGAGUAAAUACUGUGGUAUCUUACACAGUGCAAGUUAAUCUUCUUCACUCACUGAGCUGUGCUCGGGCAGCUGAAUUGGGAAACUUGGGAAGGAGUUCACAUUAAAAAUAAUACAAAUAUAAAAAUAAUGAGCACACGAAAAAAACUACAGGACCAGUUUCCUAGCAUUAUAAACACAGUAAAUAUUGUAGUGCUUAUGGUGGUUGAAGAUUCCCCAAUUCUCAAGCUGCUAUCCCAAGCCUUGCAGUACUACAUGUAUGUAUAUUCUCUGCAAUUCACUAUGAUUAAUAAUAUUCAUGCUAAUAAAUAUAUUGUUCCAUAUGUACUUUUCUCUACAGACAACUAAAAUAUCAUGAAGCGGAUGACAGAGAGAUUGAAUUCACACAGUAAGGAUGGCAUUAAAAAAAAAAAAGCUAAUUGUGCCUCACAGACGAGGAUUGUUGAGGGUUCAAAUGAUCAUUUGUGGCAUUUCAAUACUGACCUUGUUAGUAGGACUAGUCUGAUAUCAGUGGCAGAACUAAGUCAAAGAGAACCCCAGGCCAAAAUGUAGAUCCACAAUUGCAUGAACGAAGACUUGUACAAGUAUGGUGUAUAUGUGUGUGUGAAUGCAGGAGUGUACGUGUGUGUAUUGUUGUUAGAGACAUAUUCACAUACACACAUAACACUUCCGCAAAUGCUGAUACACAUCAAUACACAGAUCCUGCCUCAAAGAUAUACACAGACAUACAUACAGUGUCACAUAGAGGUACAUCUAAACACAAAUUGAUGCACACUUAUAAAUACAUUGAAGCAUAUAUACACACUGACAUACAAUGACACAUUGAAUCACAUGCACAUACAGAUGCACACAGUAACAUACACAGUGAUACAGAGACACACCACAGAUAUGCACACACUGACACACCCAUAUAGAAUAAAGAAAUUACAUAUUUUAGUCACCCUGCUUGUAGCGGAACGCCAAUAUUAAAUCCACGAAUUCCGCUGGUUCAGGAAGUAAUCCACAGUCAAGCUCUGGAAAAAGCAAGGCAAUAUCCCAAACCUCCCAUUAACCGGACGAAACACAGUUCUGAGAGUCAACUGAGGUCUUUAUUUUCAGCUCCACAAUUUAUACAAGUCCCCAUGCAAGGGGUUUCCUGAGUCCCCUCCCAGGGGCAUUCCCAGAGUGGACUACAUGGAGACUUAUUGUACAGGGCAUUUCUCCCAUCAGGCCCUGCUGCACAAGAAGGAUCCUCCCACAGGAAUGUACCGUUAAGUGGAUUAUCCCUCCGUGCAGCAGAACCGACAAUUUAUAUUAAAAUGCAUAACUGUGGUAAUAUACGGUCUAUUUGCACGAAUGGACGUUCGGUAGAUAGCUGGGGUCUGAGCGCCUCAUUCGUGAGAUUAACGCUCAGAUCCCAGCUAAAACAACCGAACGCCGCACGAAAAACACAUUUAUUAAAAUACAUGUUUAAAUGACCGAUUGCCUUCCAGGGAACAAAGUACCGAACGGCCCGGAACUCCCGAACGGCCUGGAGACUCAGCGGUGUUCAUGCCGUCGAGUAGCCGUUUUUAGUACCAUGCGCUCAACGACCUAACACCGCUGAGGGAACAAAGGAUCCAAGAUGGACGACCGCCGCAUGGUCGGUAGUCGAACGGCGGACACCUCGCAGAGCCUCUAAUUACCAAUUGCAACAUUGUUGCAAUCAGUUAACAAGUGCCACACGUCUCUAAGUGUGUGGGCUAAUACAUGGGGGUAUUUUUGGUUCACGAACGGCCCGCAAAAGUGCAGUUCGUGAAACGAAAGAAAAUCCAAUACAAACAGCUAUCUGCAUUCGGCAGAUGGCCAAUACAGCAAAUACAUGUAAAUUACAACCCGCAUACAUUCUACAUAGUUAAGCCCAUAUCCCACAACCAUAUAGGCAACCCUUAAAGGCACAGUCUCUUUAUAGUGUCCAAGUGGCCAUGUUUGCCACACUGCUGUUGGGGCAGAAAGGUGGCUUUCCUGGGGUCAGUAGGAGUUAUGUGGGGCAGAUAGAAGUUGGUUUAAGCUGGUCCAGGCUGCUGUCUCCCUUCUCUCAAUGCAGCUGUGAGUGUGUUCCAAGAAGAAGUGUACUCUCUGCCGGUAAAUUAUUGGAAAUAUUUCUAAUUUUAAAAAAAGAGUUAGUGUUUGGCUGAUGUGGUCUAAUUUUUUUCAGUUCCCUUGUCAGUGUUCGUGAGUAUAGCGGAAAUUACUUAAUUUAAAGGAUCACUAUGGGCACACAGAACAUUUCAGCUCAUUGAAGUGGUCUUGGUGCACUGUCCCAGGUCCCUUAAUCCUGCAAAGGUAAUUCUUGCAGUUUUUAAUAAACUGCAAUAAUUACCUUUGUGGAUUAACUUCACCUCUAGUUGCUGUCUACCAGACAGCUACUAGAGGGACUUACGGGUCGUUAGGUGACUUUUGGUUGCAUAACUGAUGCUGGACUCCCUCACGCUAGGCAUCCAGCGUCACCUGAAACCCCAUACUAAAGCACUGUAUAAUGCUUUCCUAUGGGGAAAUCCUAAUGCGAGCACGGCCAUUGCAUUGCAUUGCCAUUGCACGGCCAGGUCUCCCUUGUCAGCUGAUGUGGGCAGGGGACGAGCCCGAGCCAGCUCUGAGAGACAUUGGCACCCCUUUCUGCACCACGGGGAAAGAAGGGGAACGCUAAAAGGGAGCUAUAGUGCCAGGAAAACAUCUUAGUUUUCCUAGCACUGUAGUUUCCCUUUAAGGAUAUUGUAUAGAGAUAUUUCCUGGGCACCAGUUUAUCGGUUCUACCAUUUCUAUGUUCUUCUAUUUGCACUCAUAUUUUGCUCUAUGUAUUCUCAGAACAUGCUCUGUUUGUGAGAAAGAGAGAUAAAUACUUACCUACAAUGAACAAAAUUAUAAAUGCAACACUUUUGUUUUUGCCCCAAUUUUUCAUGAGCUGAACUCAAAGAUCUAAGACUUUUUCUAUUUACAAAAGGCCUAUUUCUCUCAAAUAGUGCUCACUAAAUCUGUGUUAGUGAGCAUUUCUCCUUUGCCGAGAUAAUCCAUCCACCUCACAGGUGUGGCAUAUCAAGAUGCUGAUUAGACAACAUGAUCAUUGCACAGGUGUGCCUUACACUGGCCACAAUAAAAGGCCACUCUAAAACGUGCAGUUUUAUCAAACAAUGCCACAGAAUUAAUUUCACGAGGGGCCCGGUCAGCGCUGCGGCGCUUAAACAGCUCGACCGGCCCACGUGUGAUGACAUCAGAGCUUGGAGGAAGUGACUGCUCUGGUCACUCCUUCCAGCUUGCACCGGGAGCCACACAGGAGGAAGGAGAGGAAGAAGUCAGAGUGGGAACUCUGACUACCUUCAGGCUGAAAGAUAGGAAACAGUAGGGUCACUUAAACAUUUUGUAUAUGUGUGUGUUUGUUUGUAUGUGUGUGUGUUUGUGUCUGUAUGAAUGUUUGUAUGUGUGUCUAUGUGUAUGUCUGUGUGUCUGUGUGUGUGUGUUUGUAUGAAAAGUAUCUCACAAAAGUGAGCAUAUCCUUCACAUUUUUUCAUGUGACCUCACUGAAGAAAUUACUCUGCUGCAAUGUAGUAGUAGUGAGUGUACAGUCUGUAUAACAGGGUACAUUUGCUGUCCCCUCAAACUAACUCAACACACAGUCAAAACCGUUGGCAACAAAAGUGAGCACACCCCUAAGUUGAAAUUUUCAAAUUGGGCCCAAAGCGUCAAUAUUUUGUGUGGCCACCAUUAUUUUCCAGCACUGCCUUAACCUUCAUGGGCAUGGAGUUUACCAGUCUCUUACUACUUACACUUACUACUUCACAUUGUAGCAGAGUGUAAUUUCUUCAGUGUUAUAGAUAUAUUAAAAUAUUUACAAAAAUGUGAGGUGUGUACUCACUUUUGUGAGAUACUGUAUGUAAGUUUGUAUGUAUGUGAAUCUGUAUGUGUGUGUAUGUUGUGGGCUAUUUUCGCCCCGGGCCCUGUGGUUUCUAGUUACGCCUCUGUAUACAUACAAUACAUACAUAAUUGUUUUUUUACACAGGCCAGGAGAUUCACAUGAUGGAAAAGAUCGAGGCUGGCAGGAAGCUGCAGAGGGUCAAUUAUAGAUCUAUUUUCAGCCUUAAAUGAUGGCCAUUCUACUGGGUAAGCACUGGACCAAAAUAGCUCACACUAAACACAUUCUUUUUUGAGUUAGAAAUGUCUAGCUAACAGACUUUUUUUUUUUUUUUUUUAAACUACCAGCUGAGCGUUUAGCAAUAAUUUUUUUUUUUUUUUUACAGAUUUAGCUCUGGAGGUCUGUCUGUAUAUCAUGGUUUUUUAUUAUUUUUAUUUUAUUUAUUUAUUAUUAUAUAUUUUUUUAUCUUUAAUUUUGGUGUGUAAAUAAAGUACAGACGCAUAAUUGACUUAAAGUAAAACCAUCAUAAUUUUUUUAUUAUUAAAAAUAAUAAAUGAUGAUGUGCUACAACCUUUGUUGUGUAUUAUUAUAUCAAGGAUAUAUAACAGUUAAUAACUUUAUGUGCUUUUCCUUGAGGGUGGCCAUCUUUAGCAAUCUAUGGUCAGAAGGACUACCUUCAUCCUAAGCCCACGCGCAAUUAGAAAGUCUGCAAACAUGCAGAUGCCGAUUAGUGCAGCAUUUUAGGAACUCAACCAAGUAGGCAGGGCGGGGCCAGCAGUGACAAAACCGAAGCAGUGCUCUAAAUAAGGUAAGUUAACUACCUUUUUAACCGGGGGCAAGAGGGGACUGGAUACUUAAAGGACCACUAUAGUGCCAGAAAAAUAUACUCAUUUUCCUGGCACUAUAGGGCCCUGAGGGUCCCCCCCACCCGGGUCCCCCCCACCCUCAGGAUCCCCUUCCCGUCGGGCUGGAUGGAGAGGAAGGGGUUAAACUUACCUCUUCUCCAGCGCAAGGCGGGGAGCUCCUCUUCGGCUGAAUGCGCAUGCGCGGCAGGAGCCGCGCACGCAUUCAGCCAGUCCAUAGGAAUUCACAAUGCUUUUCUAUGGAUGCUGGCGUCUUCUCACAGUGAGAAACGUGGAAGCCCUCUAGAGGCUGUCAAUGAGACGGCCACUAGAGGCUGGAUUAACCCUAGCAUAAAUAUAGCGGUUUCUCUGAAACCGCUAUGUUUAUAGAAAAAAGGGUUAACCCUAGAUGGACCAGGCACCCAGACCACUUCAUUAAGCUGAAGUGGUCUGGGUGCCUAUAGUGGUCCUUUAAACAGCGGUUUUAGAACUAUAGUGAUAUGAAUACAUGUUUGUAUUCCUGACUCUAAAGUGUUCCUUUAAACUGGUUUAGAGAACAGAAAGAGACUGUCUGUUUGUAUAUAACCUCCAUAUAUGUUUAUAGCUGUUAGAUUGUUAGGCUCAUUAUCGACCUUUCUCCCUAUGCUUGGUCACUUAUAAUGUCCUGUGGACAUAAUACAAAUGCUAUUUUAGUACAGACCUUUUGGCCCUUUUUUCAAUAAAGCCUUUUUGUAUGUUCCCUACUAUUUUAUAUAUACUGUUAAGUUUAAGUAAUCACUAACCGAUGAGUGAAGGAACCUCAUGAACUAUAUUUUUACCACUUACAACAAACUACACACUGUAUGGGUAUUGGGUGGUUACUUAUCAUAAGGAUGAAUUGUGCACUACUUGCAAACACCAGUUAGCAGGUCCCAUCUGUUUUAACUCUUGGAAAUGGCUAAACAUUCUCAUUUAGAAUUAAGGAUUAACCCCUGGACCUAUAUAUUUGUAUUUUUCAUUGUUCUAUUUUUUUUGAGAGCAAAAAACUUGCAGUGACUCUGUCCAAGUGUGAAAGAUUACAGCUACAAUCGAUUAGUCAGAGGUGAACAAUGAGGGCACAACUUAACUGCCUCAUACAGAAGGAGACAAUACAAAGGAUUAAGGAGACAAUCUCUGCCAUAUACACAUGAAACUAAUUAUCUGUUACUUUUAUUUUCAGAUGGAUAAUCUUGAUGACUGUCAAUUACUGGCUACCUCAUACAAAUAGUAAGGGUGACAUUGUUAUUGGUAAAGUACAUUUCAUUAACGAAACACUACCACCUAAACAUUAAAAUAGUGUAGUCGUGAAUUAAAUAUCACUAUGCUAUGUGUAAUUUUUAUAUUUUAACUAUUUAAAAAAAAAAAAAAAAGAAUUGGACACUUCACAAAGUCCCACUUGAGACAUACAGAGCUUGGAGACACUGAACGUGGGUGCUGCACACUGUGCAGCAGUGACCCAGGACUCUCUAGUGGCUGUCUGAGUGACUGUCACUAGAGGUGUUACUAAGCACAAUGUAAACCCUGCAUUUCAGCUGAAAAGGCAGGGUUUACAUUAAAAAAGCCUGCAGGGACAGGCUUUAGACUACAUCAAGCUGUAGUGUUUAUGGUGACUAUAGUGUCCCUUUAAGAAUUACAUUUUGUCUCGCUGAAAAUGACGGGCUCCUAACUUUUUUAGCGGCUCCUAGAUUGCUAACAAAAUUUUCAAGCCCUGCAAUAGCCUAUGGGAAAGCAUUGGAUUGGCUGAGAUUGUCACAUUCAAUGAUCAGGGGCAAGGCAGGGCCGGCCGAGGUGACACUGGCACGGUGCUGGAAAAAAGUAAAGUGAGUAAAGAGAGGGGGACAGUGGACCUAAAUAGUGAUUUUUCCACUAUUGCAUCAGGAAUACACAUUUGUAUUCCUGACACUAUAGUGUUCUUUUAAAAAUGGUUACACAAAUAUCAAUACAUUCUGCAUCCAUCGACUUUUGGGUUGAAACUGUACAGUCCAUGGCUGAUUUAUGGUCAAUUGUCCUCUUUUUUUUUUUUUUUUUUUAUUUCUGUGCCCAAUGGAUUUACAGUGAUAUACAGGUAAUGCACAAAAGUAAUUAUCUACCUCCUGAAAUGGCGAGUGAGGUUACUCUACGGUAGCUGUUUUGUACCAUGUCUCUUUUUGUUUGAAGUUAAUGGGAGUUGUAGUCAAUAUUAGAAUAUUGGGGAAACAAAAAUAAUCUUCAGAUCUUAUGCAUAAAAGAUCAGCUCACCAUAAGUUUCUACCUCUUUUUUUCUUUAUUUUUGGUGUAUACGUAUUAAGCUGCAGGUCUAGGAAGAACUGUUAACCCCUUAAGGACAGAGGAUAUUGUCCAAGUUCUGAACCAAAAUGAAACCUAGGAUUUGAGCUAUAUGUCUGGUCAAUCAUAAUUCACCGCUUUCAUAUUAAUUGCACCCACACUUAUUAUUAAUCAUUUUGUUCAGGAGAAACAGGGCAUUAAUUUCCCAUCAAAAUUUUAUUUAUGAAGCAUAAUUUUAUAUGAUUAACCCCUUAAGGACCGAGGACGGUUCAGGACCGUCAUCGGCAUUUUCCCAUUGCCGACCGAUGACGGUCCUGAACCGUCCCAACGGUCUUAGUUACUUACCUGAUCGCCGUCGUUCCCCCGUCGGCGAUCAGCGUUGCUCCCGUUGUGGGACAGUCUCCCCACGCUGGAUUAGGACCCCUGUGGCCAUGUGAUCACUUAACACAGCGAUCACAUGGUCACAAUAGAUGUCUGCCUGCAGGGGGACUGUCUGUGCUGACAGGCAGUCUCCCUGCAUGUGUAAAAUCAAUAAAAAAAAUAAAGUUAGUGUUAAUAAAAAUUAAAAAAAAUUAUAUGUGUGUGCGUAUG